rnacentral:piRNA from 1 species
UGGGGCUAGAUUAUGUAGGUGGAG